rnacentral:rRNA from 1 species
AGCGAACGCUGGCGGUAGGCCUAACACAUGCAAGUCGAACGGCAGCACAGUAAGAGCGUGCUCUUACGGGUGGCGAGUGGCGGACGGGUGAGGAAUACAUCGUAAUCUACUUUUUCGUGGGGGUUAACGUAGGGAAACCUACGCUAAGACCGCAUACGACCUACGGGUGAAAGCAGGGGAUCUUCGGACCUUGCGCGGUUGAAUGAGCCGAUGUCGGAUUAGCUAGUUGGCGGGGUAAUGGCCCACCAAGGCGACGAUCCGUAGCUGGUGUGAGAGGAUGGUAGGCGGCACUGGAAGUGGGCCACGGUCCUGACUCCUGAGGGAGGGAGCAGUGGGCAAUGUGGGACAACAGGCGCGAGCAUGAUCCAGCGAUCCCGAGUGGGUGAAGACGGCCUUCGGGUUGUAAAGACCGUCUGUUGGGAAGGAAAAGCAGCCGGUUAAUACCACGCUGUUCUGACGGUAACCAAAGAAUAAGCACCGGCUAACUUCGUG